GAGAAGAAUGGCUGGAAGUGGUUGAUAGCCCCGGUCUGAAAACCGGUA
rnacentral:tRNA from 1 species